rnacentral:rRNA from 1 species
AUACGUAGACCUCAAGCGUUAUCCGGAUUUAUUGGGCGUAAAGGGUGUGUGGGCGGUUUAAAUAGUCAGAUGUUAAAUUACUGGGCUUAACCCAGUAACCGCAUUUGAAACGUUUAAACUAGAAGUAUGCAGAGGUUAGCGGAACUUAUGGUGUAGCAGUGAAAUGCGUUGAUAUCAUAGGGAACACCAAAGGCGAAGGCAGCUAACUGGGCAUUACUUGACGCUGAGGCACGAAAGCGUGGGUAGCGAAUGGGAUUAGAUACCCCAGUAGUCC